UGUAGAGGUUACUAGUGAGAAGUACAUGUAGAGGUUACUAGUGAGAGAAGUACAUGUAGAGGUUACUAGUGAGAGAAGUACAUGUAGAGGUUACUAGUGACUAGCGAGAGAAGUACAUGUAGAGGUUACUAGUGAGAGAAGUACAUGUAGAGGUUACUAGUGAGAGAAGUACAUGUAGAGGUUACUAGUGAGAGAAGUACAUGUAGAGGUUACUAGUGAGAGAAGUACAUGUAGAGGUUACUAGUGAGAGAAGUACAUGUAGAGGUUACUAGUGAGAGAAGUACAUGUAGAGGUUACUAGUUACUAGUGAGAGAAGUAC